rfam:Streptomyces sp. WAC00263 NODE_496_length_1454_cov_103.270287, whole genome shotgun sequence.
AUUUAGUUUUAAAAAAGUGUUGACUUUAUUAAGCUAAUGAUGGUACAAUAAUCAAGUAGUCAAAAAUAAUAUUAUCGCGGGAUGGAGCAGUUCGG